rnacentral:rRNA from 1 species
GUCUACAGCCAUGCUGCCCUGAAGAAGCCUGAUCCCAUUUGAUCUCGGAAGCUAAGCAGGGUCGGGCAUAGUUAGUACUUGAAUGGGAGACUACCUAGGAAGACCAGGUGUUGUAGGCC